rnacentral:lncRNA from 1 species
GUUUGCAGGGCCUCGGUCCAAAUUCCCUUGGAGAAGCAUAGAGGCAUCAACGCAGGCCAGCCCGGAGGGGUCCGUGCGUCCGGCCGAGCCCGUCCGUUGCUCUUCCUCCUUCUGGGCAGGGAAGGGGGGAGCCCGUCCUGCAGCGCAGCCAGCUCAGCGGGGACAGGGCUGGCCUGCCCCAGAUCUGUCACCUGGCAGCGAUGGGGACAGCCCGGGCGAAGGAAAACCCGUCCAUUCCCACGGAAAACCCCUCCAUUCCCACGGCUCCAGCAGCAGAGCCGGCCCCGAUGGGCCGUGGUGCCCCUGUGCAGGGGGUUGGUGCCCGGACGGGGCUCUCCACAAGCCGCGGACCCGCCGCAGAGCCCUGAGCACACCACAGCUCCCUGGGAAGCCCCAGCCGAGCGCGGCUCAAGUCCUUGGAGGCGUCGAGCGGCACCGGAGGCAGCGGGAGGAGCAGGCAGCACGUCCCGGAGCUCCUCAGCCCCGUUUGGAGAGCAAGCCACGCGCGGUGCCGGCUCCGUUUCCAUUUUCUCUCCGGCACAGAGAGGAUUUGUAGCAUCCCAGCUUCUUGCAGACUCCUUGGAUCAGAACCCCAGGUGUGUGGCAAGGCGCGCAGCGCAGCCGGGGAGACCUUGCAGAGGAACCGCUGCCAGGCUCCCGUGCAGGGGGCCCGAUGCUGCCCCACAGCUAACUCCAGCAUCCCCCGCCAGCCACGCAGCUCGUACCGAACCCCACUGGGAAGCGGGGCGCCGAGCAUCCCCAACGAGGGCGGCCAGAGGGCAGCCAAGCGAGAGCGACAGUGACAGUGACAGUGACGACAGCCGCGGCCGCCCCGCUCCUCCCCACUGCCUCUGUGCUGGGGCCAAGCGAGCCCACACUCCGGCCCCCCCAGACCCUGCCCGGCUCCGACCCCGCAGCCUUCACAGGGCAGAGACCAGCCCAAGACGACCGCCCUGCAUCCAAGAUGACCAGUCCAAGACGACCCCCGGUGCUUCCCCAGAGCACGGCCCGGAGCCAGCCCCAUGCCACCGGCUCCACGCGCCCCAUCCGUCAGCAGCACCCGGCCAAAACCCCAACGAGACGCUCGGCACGGCACAGCCAGGCCACCCCAGGGCCACCUCCUCGGGGUCGGUCCCCACGUCACCGGCAGCCCCGGCUGCCAGGCGCCAUCCGGCACAGGCAGCAGUGACAUGA